UCCAUGAAAAUUAAUUCAAGUAAAAGGCUAGGUAUGCUGUUUAGUAUUUUUUGCGUUUUUAGUAGUGGUUAUCAUACCUGUCAAGUGUCAGUCCUGUCCCAGGCUUAAUAUUACUCUGUGUUGCGAACUGUGAAUUUACUUGUGCCAAUUUUAGAAAUGGUUGGAACUAAUAAAAAUAAUUUUGUGUUUCCAUAUGCUACCCGAUUACCCGACCCGAUAAUGACAAUAACGAGUAAUGGAAAGACUCUAUUUUGUAUUGCAAAAAUAGUUCUACAUAGCCGGGGGGUAGUGGAGUCUACUGAUGAUACAGUCUACACUUUUCCAGACAUUUAAUACCUAGGGCAAAAAAAAGUGUCUGGACUGACAUAACCCAACCCCCCUUAUGAUGAUUUUGCGCCAAAACCGCCCUACCUCUCCUUAAAAAGGAUACUGUACCUUACCCCACAUAAUCCGACGCGCGAAUCGUCUUCUUACAAACCUAUUACUGGUCAUGUCAGAUUUUAUUAUUAAAUUUCAUAGCGCAGUAUAAUUGAUGGACCCACAAUACACACACAAUUAAAAUUACAAUGAGCGACCAGCAGCACCCCCAAUUUUGGCUGAGGGUGAUAAGGACCGAAAUCUGUAGAUUAUUGAGGAGAUUCGACAAUUUUCAUUCGUCAUGCGGUUCCAAUCCAGUGUC